rnacentral:rRNA from 1 species
AACGAACGCUGGCGGCAUGCCUAACACAUGCAAGUCGAACGAGACCUUCGGGUCUAGUGGCGCACGGGUGCGUAACGCGGGGGAACCUGCCCUUAGGCUCGGAAUAACUCCCCGAAAGGGGUGCUAAUACCGGAUAAUGUCUUCGGACCAAAGAUUUAUCGCCUUUGGAUGGGCCCGCGUUGGAUUAGCUAGUUGGUAGGGUAAAAGCCUACCAAGGCGACGAUCCAUAGCUGGUCUGAGAGGAUGAUCAGCCACACUGGGACUGAGACACGGCCCAGACUCCUACGGGAGGCAGCAGUGGGUAAUAUUGGACAAUGGGCGAAAGCCUGAUCCAGCAAUGCCGCGUGAGUGAUGAAGGCCUUAGGGUUGUAUAGCUCUUUUACCCGGGAUGAUAAUGACAGUACCGGGAGAAUAAGCUCCGGCUAACUCCGUG